rnacentral:rRNA from 1 species
GAUGAACGCUGGCGGCGUGCCUAAUACAUGCAAGUCGAGCGAACGGACGAGGAGCUUGCUCCUCUGACGUUAGCGGCGGACGGGUGAGUAACACGUGGAUAACCUACCUAUAAGACUGGGAUAACUUCGGGAAACCGGAGCUAAUACCGGAUAAUAUAUUGAACCGCAUGGUUCAAUAGUGAAAGACGGUUUUGCUGUCACUUAUAGAUGGAUCCGCGCCGCAUUAGCUAGUUGGUAAGGUAACGGCUUACCAAGGCAACGAUGCGUAGCCGACCUGAGAGGGUGAUCGGCCACACUGGAACUGAGACACGGUCCAGACUCCUACGGGAGGCAGCAGUAGGGAAUCUUCCGCAAUGGGCGAAAGCUUGACGGAGCAACGCCGCGUGAGUGGUGAAGGUCUUCGGAUCGUAAAACUCUGUUAUUAGGGAAGAACAAAUGUGUAAGUAACUAUGCACGUCUUGGCGGUACCUAAUCAGAAAGCCACGGCUAACUACGUG